AUUGAACGCUGGCGGCAUGCUUUACACAUGCAAGUCGAACGGCAGCGCGGGCUUCGGCCUGGCGGCGAGUGGCGAACGGGUGAGUAAUACAUCGAAACGUGCCCAGUAGUGGGGGAUAGCUCGGCGAAAGCCGGAUUAAUACCGCAUACGACCUGAGGGUGAAAGCGGGGGAUCUUCGGACCUCGCGCUAUUGGAGCGGCCGAUGGCAGAUUAGCUAGUUGGUGGGGUAAAGGCCUACCAAGGCGACGAUCUGUAGCUGGUCUGAGAGGACGACCAGCCACACUGGGACUGAGACACGGCCCAGACUCCUACGGGAGGCAGCAGUGGGGAAUUUUGGACAAAGGGCGAAAGCCUGAUCCAGCAAUGCCGCGUGUGUGAUGAAGGCCUUCGGGUUGUAAAGCACUUUUGGCGGGAACGAAAAGGACUGUGCCAAUACCACGGUUCGAUGACGGUACCCGCAGAAUAAGCACCGGCUAACUACGUA
rnacentral:rRNA from 1 species